GUAACAUUAUUACAUGACGACCUGAACCACUGACAUGACGUCAUAAGAAACUUCACGACGUCGUAUAUAACACAAGACGGCUUGAACAAAAUAAUGACGACGUCGUAAGAAAAACUGAUAUCCAUAGCCUAGCCAACCCCGUUCAACCACAUAUUAACGAAGCCAGGAAAUUGCGUUGAAGGUUCAGCCUAGUAUGGAAGAGCUGACGAAGGCAGAGGGUACUCCCAAGGACGCAACGAUGGAUAUUCCUUUACUGACAUUAAAGGAGGCAUUUAUGGAUGGUGAAAAGUGACCCUCAUGUUUUGGACACGGGCCUAUUUAUUGCUGUAUAAUUGUGCAUCGACAAAAGAGGUUGAUCUGAUUGAAGGUGAUAUCUUACGGAUUUCAGCAUUGGUGCAAAAGAGACCAACGUAGUCGUCCCCACUCUGACCACCCGAAGCAAGAUAUUAAACACUUAAACAAGCAGUUUCACAAACACCCCGUGACUGUGGAGCUACCACCUCCUCCUGCUAGACCUUCACGAACUCUCCUAAUGUUAACUCACAUGGUGUACUCAAUAAUUAUUCUACUGAUAUAAUUAUCUGCUCACUCUAUAACUAAGAAUGAUGUGCUUGAAAGAUCUACAAGAAACAACCAUCUCUUGUAUCCAUGUAGCCUCAAUUCCAAGCCGCAUUAAAACAUCUUGGAUCGAGGUCAAAGUUCAUUUGCAUUCCAGCAAUUACUUUACUUAUAGGUGUGCACGUGAUACUUUCCAACCUCCUCUGUCAUUACACAUUAGCUUCUUACGACGUCAUGUCAGUCAUGUCAGUUGUAUUCAAAGUCUUUUUCUUAAGACGUCGUUA